GAGAACGUAAAAGGAGCUUUUGACUUUUACUGGUGGAACCUGAGGAGGACUGAGGCAGUUUAAACUUGACAGACCUUAAUCGUGCAGGGCACCCUUCUAAACUUUUGUUUACCUCCUGUGAGCAGCUGAAGGGAGGAGGGAAACAAGGGAAGAAAAGGAAAAAAAAAAAAAGAAAAAAGGCAGCUUUCAGUUACUAACCCCCUCGUGGUAUUGAAUUCUAACCGAGUACAUGCAGCCCUGCCAGCCAGAAAUGCCAAAAGGAGGAAAGCUGCUGAAUCAGAGGAGAAUCAGGACUGGGAGGAUGGUAGGGAAUAUGAGAGUAGCACUAGGCAAACAAAAUGGUGAGCACGCCUUGGGCUACGUUUUCAGCGUGUUUUCUUGGGAGAUCAAAGCUUAAACCCCAUUAACCCUUCAAAUGUCAGCCUGCUCAGCCAUCGUUACCCCCCUGGCAAGUGGUGAAUGAGGCUCUGUUGGCCAGCAGAGCCAUUUUGGAGCAAAUUAAGGUUUGUUGGGUGCUUGCUAAAGACCUCUUGGACAUCAG